rnacentral:rRNA from 1 species
AUUGAACGCUGGCGGCAGGCUUAACACAUGCAAGUCGAACGAGUGGCGGACGGGUGAGUAAUGCUUGGGAAUCUGGCUUAUGGAGGGGGAUAACGAAGGGAAACUGUCGCUAAUACCGCGUACCAUAGGAUGAGCCCAAGAGGGAUUAGGUAGUUGGUGGGGGAAUGGCCAACAAAGCCGAAUAACUCUAGCUGGUCUGAGAGGAUGACCACCCACACCGGGACUGAGACACGGCCCGGACUCCUACGGGAGGCAUCAGUGGGGAAUAUUGCGCAAUGGGGGCAACCUGACGCAGCCAUGCCGCGUGAAUGAAUAAGGCCUUCUGGUUGUAAAGUUCUUUCGGUGACGAGGCGUUAAUCACAGAAGAAGCACCGGCUAACUCCGUGCCAGCCGCCGCGGUAAUAC